rnacentral:rRNA from 1 species
GAGGUAGUAACACGUAGGUAGACCCCCCAGAGUCGGGCAUAGCCAGCCGAAAGGUUGGGUAAUUCCCGAUAGUCCCGAAAGGGUAAAGGUUUUUUCGCUCUGGGAGUUGCCUGCGUAGUAUCAGCUAGUUGGUAGGGUAAUGGCCUACCAAGGCUACGACGCUUAGGGGAGCUGAGAGGCUGACCCCCACCGAUGGAACUGCGACACGGUCCAUACUCCUACGGGAGGCUGCAGACGAGAAUAUUCCGCAAUGGGCGAAAGCCUGACGGAGCGACGCCGCGUGAUUGAUGAAGUGCUUCGGUACGUAAAGAUCUUUUAUCGGGGACGAAGUUUAUUGACGGUACCCGAUGAAUAAGGGGCUCCUAACUCUGUG